UCUUGGUCAAUUUAGAGGAAGUAAAAGUCGUAACAAGGUUUCCGUAGGUGAACCUGCGGAAGGAUCAUUAAAGAAUAAACUUGGUUGGGCUGUUGCUGGCUCCUUGGAGCAUGUGCACGCCUACCACCAUCUUUUACCACCUGUGCACCUUUUGUAGACCGUUUUGGAAGAUAGAGGGCUGCUGUGCGAAAGCUAGCUUUCCUUGCAAUAUUUCGAGCGGUUUAUGUUUUCAUACACUCCAAAGUAAUAGAAUGUCAUUAAAUGGCCUUUGUGCCUUUAAAAACAAAAUACAACUUUCAACAACGGAUCUCUUGGCUCUCGCAUCGAUGAAGAACGCAGCGAAAUGCGAUAAGUAAUGUGAAUUGCAGAAUUCAGUGAAUCAUCGAAUCUUUGAACGCACCUUGCGCUCCUUGGUAUUCCGAGGAGCAUGCCUGUUUGAGUGUCAUUAAAUUCUCAACUCUUUCAGCUUUUGCUAUAAGAGAUUGGAUGUGGGAGUUUGCAGGCUGAAAAGUCAGCUCUCCUUAAACGCAUUAGUAAAACCUUGGUUUAAUUGUCUUAUGGUGUGAUAAUUAUCUACGCCUUGAGUAAAAUUGAGGUUCUGCUCAUAACCGUCCUUUUUUCAAGGACAACACUGACAAUUUGACCUCAAAUCAGGUAGGACUACCCGCUGAACUUAAGCAUAUCAAUAAGCGGAGGAAAAGAAACUAACAAGGAUUCCCCUAGUAACUGCGAGUGAAGCGGGAAAAGCUCAAAUUUAAAAUCUGGCAGUCUUUGACUACCCGAGUUGUAAUCUAGAGAAGCAUUAUCCGUGCUGGACCGUGUACAAGUUCUCCUG
rnacentral:rRNA from 1 species